AGAGUUUGAUCCUGGCUCAGAAUCAACGCUGGCGGCGUGCCUAACACAUGCAAGUCGAACGAGAAAGUGGAGCAAUCCAUGAGUAAAGUGGCGACCGGGUGAGUAACACGUGACUAACCUACCUUCGAGUGGGGGAUAACCUCGGGAAACCGAGGCUAAUACCGCAUAACAUCGCAAGAUCAAAGCAGCAAUGCGCUUGAAGAGGGGGUCGCGGCUGAUUAGCCAGUUGGCGGGGUAACGGCCCACCAAAGCGAAGAUCGGUAGCCGGCCUGAGAGGGCGCACGGCCACACUGGAACUGAAACACGGUCCAGACUCCUACGGGAGGCAGCAGUGGGGAAUUUUGCGCAAUGGGGGAAACCCUGACGCAGCAACGCCGCGUGGAGGAUGAAGCCCCUUGGGGCGUAAACUCCUU
rnacentral:rRNA from 1 species